rnacentral:rRNA from 1 species
GACGAACGCUGGCGGCGUGCUUAACACAUGCAAGUCGAACGGAAAGGCCCUGCUUUUGUGGGGUGCUCGAGUGGCGAACGGGUGAGUAACACGUGAGUAACCUGCCCUUGACUUUGGGAUAACUUCAGGAAACUGGGGCUAAUACCGGCUAGGAGCUCCUGCUGCAUGGUGGGGGUUGGAAAGUUUCGGCGGUUGGGGAUGGACUCGCGGCGUAUCAGCUUGUUGGUGGGGUAGUGGCUUACCAAGGCUUUGACGGGUAGCCGGCCUGAGAGGGUGACCGGACACAUUGGGACUGAGAUACGGCCCAGACUCCUACGGGAGGCAGCGGUGGGGAAUAUUGCACAAUGGGCGGAAGCCUGAUGCAGCAACGCCGCGUGCGGGAUGACGGCCUUCGGGUUGUAAACCGCUUUCGCCUGUGACGAAGCGUGAGUGACGGUAAUGGGUAAAGAAGCACCGGCUAACUACGUG